UGGGGAGACCUUAUCAGCCAGGCCUAAAAGCUCCCAUGUCCCUCACCAGUAGAAUCUUGAUGACAUCCACUGGACAAGAUGCAAUGGAGCCUACAGAGACCAAUGGUUCACAGGGAGGAAGAACAGUUGCUGCUACAGCUGGACACAAUGCUGAGUGCCCUUCAAAAACCAUGAUUAACUGGGAGGAGGCAGCUGCAAGACUGGGACCUUAGAUGAAACAGAAGUUAAAACAGUCCUGCAAGAACAGCAAACUGAAAACUUCUUUAACUCUCUUUCUGCCUUUAUCAAUGUUUAGGGGUGUAUUUUGUGGAAGUUAUGUGGGCAGGGAGAGUGAGAAGCAGAUAAAAACUGCCCAUGUGGUAAGGGAAAUCCUGUUAAAUAAAAUAUAUUUUACAGAAACUUUA